GGGGAAUCGGAGUAACUCCCAACCCCUGUGACAUACCUAUUGUUGCCUCGGCGGAUCAGCCCGGCCCCGGUAAAACGGGACGGCCCGCCAGAGGACCCUAAACUCUGUUUUUAGUGUAACUUCUGAGUAAAACAAACAAAUAAAUCAAAACUUUCAACAACGGAUCUCUUGGUUCUGGCAUCGAUGAAGAACGCAGCAAAAUGCGAUAAGUAAUGUGAAUUGCAGAAUUCAGUGAAUCAUCGAAUCUUUGAACGCACAUUGCGCCCGCCAGUAUUCUGGCGGGCAUGCCUGUUCGAGCGUCAUUUCAACCCUCAAGCACAGCUUGGUGUUGGGAUUUGCGGAGUAAUUCGCAGUCCCCAAAUCUAUUGGCGGUCACGUCGAGCUUCCAUAGCGUAGUAAUUACACCUCGUUACUGGUAAUCGUCGCGGCCACGCCGUUAAACCCCAACUUCUGAAUGUUGACCUCGGAUCAGGUAGGAAUACCCGC
rnacentral:rRNA from 1 species